rnacentral:lncRNA from 1 species
CCAGAAUUCCAGCAUUUAAGACUUAGCCAAAUUUUCAGCUUUUUCACCGUUUUCGCUCUGUUUUUGCUCAUUUUCGCUCGUUUGACAUCCGAUUCGUUUCAAAUCGAACCAAGACUCUCCAAACAUGUUUUCGAGCAUAUUUUCAUCAUCUUUUCAUCCACGCUAAUGCCGAAUUUAGUUUAUGGUCCAACAUACCCUUUCAGAUUUCGUUUUCGCGCCUACGCGCACCAAAACGCCCGUAUGCUCCCGAACUUCACCGAACUUUACCGGAACCAUUCAAAUGGCUUUCCAAACCAAUGUACAACGUAACUUCAUAAUUUUAUAA